GCGCGAUUAGCUCAGUGGUAGAGCGCUGCGUUCACAUCGCAGAGGUCGCAGGUUCAAUUCCUGCAUCGCGCACCA
rnacentral:tRNA from 5 species